CACUGUUACUACUGCCCAUUAAGUUAUUCAGUCUUCAUUUGCUGCUGUUAACUAUGAGUAGUUAUAAUUUCUUACAUUUUUGGGAACACCUGAACGUCUCAAAGACGAACCCCCUGCAGAUUUAGCUGUUACGCCCCGUAGCUUCGCCACAGUCUGUCACCAGCAAGACUCGUGUGUGUGUGGCAGAGCUGAGACUGUGGGAGCUGACGAACCUUUCUUUAUGUUCAAAAAUCCAGAACAUGCCAAUAAAGAGGCGUCAGAGACUCGACAUUGAAUGGCUUGUGAUUUCUGAGCACCACAACGCAUGUGAGAGUACUAAAACCGCUACACACGCAUGAUGGGAGAUGGUGGUGAAAGUGACGUCCUUCCAUCACUGCU